GACAGAGGCCCCAAGCGUUAGGCGGAAUCACUGGGCUUAAAGCGUGUGUAGGCGGAUCGUUAAGUGUCUUGUGAAAUCCCACGGCUCACCCGUGGAACUGCUGGGCAUACUGGCGAUCUUGGGCCAACUAGGGGCAGCCGGAACAAGCGGUGGAGCGGUGAAAUGCGUAGAUAUCGCUUGGAACGCCGAAGGUGAAAACAGGCUGCUGGGGUUGCGCCGACGCGUGAGACACGAAAGCCAGGGGAGCAAACGGG
rnacentral:rRNA from 1 species